rnacentral:tRNA from 1 species
GGCCCGUUCGUCUAGUGGUUAGGACAUCGGGUUUUCAUCCCGAAAACAGGGGUUCGAUUCCCCUACGGGCUACCA